CCUAGUCUAUUCCUCGAGUCCAGCAGCCGCCUCUGCGACUCGGCAGCGAGGUGCAUACCGCAAGACAGGAGGCGCAAGCCCCUGGCCUCAUUUACGCUGCCGGCUUGGGGGUUGAUUGGGGAUAUGGCAUAGAUAGAUCUUCCCCGAUCCUGGCGAACUGGGGCAGGAGAGGGUCCCGCUAGAUGACGCUGCGGUAAAAACACACGUAGAGCAUCCCUCUAAAGACGUCGGCCACGUCCUGGCCCGUACCUUCUUCGUCCGUACCUCAAGGAAGACCUGCGGCACCUGUCCAAGGGGAACGAACUCCUUAAGCGGCUGCCGCAACUCGUAGGUCUAGGUCAAGGAGACCCCGCCUACGUUCGCUUGCUCGGGUCAAUGCGCCCAUCGGGACAUAGUUUUCUACUAAGACCCACGCCGGUCGUCUAACCGCUUCAACUCCACUUGCCUUCCGUUGGACGACGAGCGGCGGCAUGCUUGUGUAGAGGUUGAGCCAGACCUGUCAGUUGACUGUCCCACUUAGGUCUUCGUGGGCCCACCUGAUUUUCCAAUGCCGAUCCCUCGCGCGGUGGCCUGUCCUGUGGUACAGGGUCGGCAUACUCGCGAGACCUCCUCAGCUACGCGUUCAUGCGAUUUCUCGGGUCGUUUUUACACCACGCCGGUUGUGAACCAGACUGAAAACUAAGCGAACCACUUCGUAUGCUGAAGAUGUUAAACAUAAGGACCCUUUGGCCAAAGCCGUAAUCUAUACCUUUCUCAGCCGACUUGCAACUCUCCUAUUUCACGUACGUUCUUUAUCACACGCCAACGAGCCCCUUCGGUCUUCGUCUUUUAUCAUCUAGCACGUCCACACUCACAGGUCGAAACUAUUCUAACAACGCUCGUCGCCUGUUGUCGACCAUGUAAUGUCUUGUGUCUCUCUUGGUAUUAGUAAGUUACAGUAACUGUUACCCACUCUUUCAAGUGGCCGGCAGCGUGUUCGUGUAACUACACAUGUGAUUCCUAGAGUAUUUUGUCGAUGCCUUCUUGUUACAAUUGGAACCGUUCCACAUGUCGUAUUAUCCUACAAAGAAGCCCAGCCAACUCUUCCAAGGUAAGUGAUUCUCCUGAGACUCCUUGUAUACGCCCUUCUAGUCAGUCCUCGUCCGGCUACUACUACAAUCCUUCUGUGAACUUCACAAGCGACUGUAUAUCAGACCACUGGGACCAAAGUGUAUGUCUCACCACCGACUACUAUGUUCGUUUCACUUCUUGGACUACACCCGUUUGCCCUCGUCGGCAUACGUCAUGGCAAAGAAACCUCUACAACAGUGAAAGCUGUGUUGUAUAUCAUGAUUGAACAUGCUGUACGGAAAACCUAAUGAACAACCCCAUUUGUUAGUAAAAGUCUCGUAGUAGGAGCGACCCCACGACUACACGCUGCUCGUCGUUCUCUCGAAGCUUACCCAAAAGCGGCUCAAGGAAGCUUACUACCCUCCUGGACGGGGUUUCUGAUAGAACUGUCUAGUCACGUCUCGAUACCUUGAUCGAUAGUUCUUCCACAUAGGUCUAUGCUACGUAUCCACCACGUUCACCGUGCACGACUUCUUUCGUUUCCUCUCAGAUCCUGGAAACAUGUGGUUUUUUUACUGAAGGUUCGACUAAAAGUGUUUCAGCACUUGGUGUACAAUUGGCUUCUACUCAAGCUCUGCUGUACCCCAUACAACGACCUAUUCAUGUUAAACGCUUUCGUGCGUAUAUACUGUGUCUAAAUACUCUAAGCUUGUUUCACCCGUUUUGGUAUGAAAUCUCCACAAAAGACACGGUUCUACUGGUUGUUUGUUGCCUCGCUCUCACGGUUAGUGUACAACUUCUGUAUGUACGGGGGUCGCUCGGGGUACGUACACAAACAGUCCGUCAUAUACUCUGACGUUAAACUGUCCCUCGCACUUCUCUCGAUGCUCCUCUUUUCUUGAUACUAACCUCCACGUCACUCUUCUUGUUUAAACCGAUAUCUCUCCGUGCGGUCAUUUUAUAUGUGGGCUAGAUACAAACUGCUCAAACCCUGUAAAGACUACCUUCGGUGUUGUAUAUUGUAUUGCCUCUAUCUCUUCUACUUCUUCAUACACCGUUGGGUAUUAUUACGCCGUUUCUCUCUCUCUACCUCGUCUCAACAAAUACUCCAAUGACAGCACCUACUAGUUUUCCUCAAAUGAACACUCACACCAGUUAAGCUUGUGUGACCAAACAACACGUUGGUGUAAGAUUCCCAUUACCUUUAUGAUGUGGAUCUUGUCUAAGGUCGAUUUGUAUAACACUUUUCCACCUGCUUCCUGCGUUCUCUGUAAGAUGGUUCGGUAGACGUCGUCAUGGUUUUCCUGUUCGCCUGGUUGUGUAGUAAGUGUACCUCCGUAAGCUGUAACAUGAAGUUUCGAUACCUGCAGCAAGCUUACCCCCUACGCUCAGUGUUAGUAAACUAAAGUACGAUCGACCCUACCUUCUAGAUGAUCACGCACCUCGUGGAUAACGUCUCUCCUCUCUACCGGAGCCCAAACUCCUAGCCCACUGCUGGAAUCUGGGACACUCCGUUUGACUAUUACCUCUUCAACGAAAGCACGAACCAAGUCCACGGCUAUUUCUCUUAUCGUACCGUGUAAGAUAGUCGUAGUUACUGAACCUUCCCGAUCGUCGUGGGCGAUUCGUCUCCCCCCAACCAUCCGGUUGUUUAUCGUCCCUCUUCCGUGGCAUGCUUCCUGAGUCAGCUGCAUGUGCAAAGACGUCGUAGACGUCCUCCCCUCCUGUGUUCUCUUGAUGUACAGGACUAUCUCCCCUGCGUGAUUUUUUCGGCUCCUUUGGACCAGCUACGUUCUUGACACCUUAGCUUCCAGUGGCAGUCUUGUGCACGUGGUCCGGUAACCCCAAGUGACGUUUGAUCAAAAGUUGUAAGUACAGAAUACAAAACGGCUAGCCUUUAAUGAUCAAACAACAUCAUGCUAGACGAGAAACGUACGAAUAGAGGUGAAUCUACCAUAAGUAUCAACGUACUACUUAUUCUAAUACAUCACAGUCGAUACGUAGGUACGAGAUACCGUUACAUCGUUCUAUUUUACACGACCUGAACUCACUCCUGAAAGCACAAAGCAUAACUGACUUGGACUUUACAAAUAAACUGACAGUAUGACUUCUUUUAUAACAAAGGACCAAAAAUCAUGCUGCCGUACACUCAUAUACACUUCUUGUACGUCUCACCUCUACAAACCAAACUUACUGUGGAUUACACUCCUCUGUGUCAAAAGACUAAGUCACUGAGUGUUGAUACUCUUGAGUAUCAGCCGCUGUACACCGUUGGUACGCACACCACCGAGUCAAAUGAAGGUACGCACACCUCGCGCGCGUGGUACCUCAAGUUUAAAACUUGUUCGAUCAUUUACGUAUUCAACACUCGGGACCUAUCGUAUGCUGCGUCUUUGGUCAUAUUUCCGGCUCCCACUCCGUCGACGGACGGACCAUUGGUGAAAGUGUUUCACAAGUAGAGCAUCUCGUCCCCGCAGCUUCCUGAGACCUCUACCGUGGUUCGCGACGACUCGGACUUUCGUCACCGUGCUGCUCCUCCAGAGUUAACUCACCAAGUCGGAAGCCAGAACUCCUAGUCCGUUUCCGGAGAGGAAACCACCGUAGUCGCCUUUCGACGACCUCAUGUUGACUAAACCGAGGCGUGCCACAUCUGCACGGUCUGCUCCCCGUUCAACAAGUUCGUCUAGCAACCCUCUGAACAAACGAGCGAGUCCUUCACCUGUACUUCCGCCUCCUUCCUCUACAAGUCCUCCCCAAGCCGCUCGUGCUAGGUAGGCAGGUCUGCUGUCCGCUACCGUGACGCCUGCUUGUUCAAAGUCUUCUACGGAGACGACAGUACCUGAGUAACUCUUUCCCUUCGCUGCUCCUUCUUCUUCAGUCGUCGUCCCACCGCUUCGCGG
rnacentral:rRNA from 1 species